GAAUUCGCCCUUAGAGUUUGAUCCUGGCUCAGGAUGAACGCUGGCGGCGUGCUUAACACAUGCAAGUCGAGCGAAGCACUUAAGUUUGAUUCUUCGGAUGAAGAUUUUUGUGACUGAGCGGCGGACGGGUGAGUAACGCGUGGGUAACCUGCCUCAUACAGGGGGAUAACAGUUAGAAAUGACUGCUAAUACCGCAUAAGACCACGGUACCGCAUGGUACAGUGGUAAAAACUCCGGUGGUAUGAGAUGGACCCGCGUCUGAUUAGGUAGUUGGUGGGGUAACGGCCUACCAAGCCGACGAUCAGUAGCCGACCUGAGAGGGUGACCGGCCACAUUGGGACUGAGACACGGCCCAGACUCCUACGGGAGGCAGCAGUGGGGAAUAUUGCACAAUGGAGGAAACUCUGAUGCAGCGACGCCGCGUGAAGGAUGAAGUAUUUCGGGUUGUAAACUUCUUUUGUCGGGGACGAGUAGAAGACGGUACCUGGCGAAUAAGUCACGGCUAACUACGUGCCAGCAGCCGCGGUAAUACGUAGGUGGCGAGCGUUAUCCGGAAUGAUUGGGCGUAAAGGGUGCGUAGGUGGCAGAUCAAGUCUGGAGUAAAAGGUAUGGGCUCAACCCGUACUGGCUCUGGAAACUGAUCAGCUAGAGAACAGAAGAGGACGGCGGAACUCCAUGUGUAGCGGUAAAAUGCGUAGAUAUAUGGAAGAACACCGGUGGCGAAGGCGGCCGUCUGGUCUGGAUUCUGACACUGAAGCACGAAAGCGUGGGGGAGCAAAAGGAUUAGAUACCCCUAGUAGUCCCCCCCUAAACAAUGAGAACUAGGUGUUGGGGGAAUAACUCAGUGCCCCAGUUAACCCAGUAAGUUCUCCGCCUGGGGAGUAUGCACGCAAGUGUGAAACUCAAAGAAAUUGACGGGGGCCCGCACAAGCGGUGAAGUAUGUGGUUUAAUUCGAAGCAACGCGAAGAACCUUACCAGGUCUUGACAUCCGACUAACGAGAUAGAGAUAUGUCAGGUGCCCUUCGGGGAAAGUCGAGACAGGUGGUGCAUGGUUGUCGUCAGCUCGUGUCGUGAGAUGUUGGGUUAAGUCCCGCAACGAGCGCAACCCCUGCCAUUAGUUGCUACGCAAGAGCACUCUAAUGGGACCGCUACCGACAAGGUGGAGGAAGGUGGGGACGACGUCAAAUCAUCAUGCCCCUUAUGACCUGGGCUACACACGUAAUACAAUGGCCGUUAACAGAGGGAAGCAAAGCGGUGACGCAGAGCAAAACCCUAAAAACGGUCCCAGUUCGGACUGUAGGCUGCAACCCGCCUACACGAAGUUGGAAUUGCUAGUAAUCGCGGAUCAGCAUGCCGCGGUGAAUACGUUCCCGGGCCUUGCACUCACCGCCCGUCA
rnacentral:rRNA from 1 species